UACGUAGGGUGCGAGCGUUGUCCGGAAUUAUUGGGCGUAAAGAGCUCGUAGGCGGUCUGUUACGUCUGCUGUGAAAACCCUGGGCUUAACCCUGGGCUUGCAGUGGAUACGGGCAGACUCGAGUCCGGUAGGGGAGUGUGGAAUUCCCGGUGUAGCGGUGAAAUGCGCAGAGAUCGGGAGGAACACCCGUAGCGAAGGCGGCACUCUGGGCCGGUACUGACGCUGAGGAGCGAAAGCGUGGGGAGCAAACAGG
rnacentral:rRNA from 1 species